UACGUAGGGGGCAAGCGUUGUCCGGAAUCAUUGGGCGUAAAGAGCGUGUAGGCGGCCAGGUAGGUCUGCUGUGAAAACUCGAGGCUUAACCUCGAGCUGUCGGCGGAAACCAUCUGGCUAGAGUCCGGAGGAGGAGAAUGGAAUUCCCGGUGUAGCGGUGAAAUGCGCAGAUAUCGGGAAGAACACCCGUGGCGAAGGCGGUUCUCUGGGACGGUACUGACGCUGAGACGCGAAAGCGUGGGGAGCGAACAGG
rnacentral:rRNA from 1 species